rnacentral:rRNA from 1 species
CCUACGGGUGGCAGCAGUGGGGAAUAUUGGACAAUGGGCGAAAGCCUGAUCCAGCCAUGCCGCGUGUGUGAAGAAGGCCUUCGGGUUGUAAAGCACUUUCAGUGGGGAAGAAAGCCUUGGGGCUAAUACCCUCGAGGAAGGACAUCACCCACAGAAGAAGCACCGGCUAACUCCGUGCCAGCAGCCGCGGUAAUACGGAGGGUGCGAGCGUUAAUCGGAAUUACUGGGCGUAAAGCGCGCGUAGGCGGUCUGAUAAGCCGGUUGUGAAAGCCCCGGGCUCAACCUGGGAACGGCAUCCGGAACUGUCAGGCUAGAGUGCAGGAGAGGAAGGUAGAAUUCCCGGUGUAGAGGUGAAAUGCGUAGAGAUCGGGAGGAAUACCAGUGGCGAAGGCGGCCUUCUGGACUGACACUGACGCUGAGGUGCGAAAGCGUGGGUAGCAAACAGGAUUAGAUACCCAGUAGUC